rfam:Ictidomys tridecemlineatus contig078414, whole genome shotgun sequence.
GCGCGCCGGGUUCAGUGGUUCUUAACAGUUCAACAGUUCUGUAGCGCAAUUGUGAAAUGUUUAGGACCACUAGACCCGCC